GGGGGGCACUGGCCAGCUGCUCGCGUCGCCUCCGCGCGGCGCUGUCCCCGCCAGGUGGGUCCCAUUCUCCAGAACCUUCGCUUUUACCGAGUCACAGCAAACUCCGGCGUGCACGCGUAACAAACCGAGAAUCGUGUGGCCUUGUGCACCGGGGCAUCUCCCCCUCGCAUGGGUAUAAAAUGUCACGCCCGUGACCCCCUCUCUGGCCACCACCCGAGCACCAUACAGCGAGAAAUCGUGUGCACUGGCACCUCAUCGGAGCUCUACAGGAAAAGUCCCCAGGCGUCAUCGGUGAUCGAUCAGAAUUCAAUCUAUGGGCUUUGUCAGGCGCUGAGGAAGGUGUGAUAGUCAUUCGUCCUGUGUUCAAGGCCGUAGGGGAGCCACAAUUCUUCAUUGGAGUUCGCGAUUGGUACGAGAGCCGCUGCGCUAGGGCUUUGCCCACAUCGUGCCUCUCUGCCCACGGAGGGUGGUCGAGGAUGAUCGCUAGAUCCUGUGCAAGCUCUUCAUGCAGUCGUCGAGAAGAGAGGGUCACCUUCUCCAGCCAAAUUGUUCACCGGUGUUGAAGAUUCGCCUUGGCGUCACGGUGUCACGUGGGUGGAACUCUGGUCGCCUCAAUCUGAGGUCAAGAACAGGUACCGUUAGAGGAAGAUUGCCAUGAAGAUGAGUUCGGAGAGGUCUAUGCUAUCGUCUCCCAGUCAACUAUGGUUGUGGAGGAUCGUUUUCGUCACAUGAUGUAUUUUAUUUAGCUAUUUUUAAAGAAAUUAUAUCAUGUAAUAAAUAUGUGACAUUUUUUGUGUACACUGGGUCAUCAUAUGUGUGAAACUUGAUCCUGACAUACAUUUGAGAUACAUCUGGAUUUGUCCUUAAAUCUAGGUGUGACAUAAUUUCAUCAAAAGCUUAUUGAAAUAAUUCAAUGACGA